UUUUCAGUUUACUUGCAGCAUGGCAAAAAACGGAAGACACUUUGUCGAGACUAAAGUGUGAAAUGGCGGAAGCAUGACACCAUUGCCAAUGGUGAUUUGGGGCGUCGGAAA
rnacentral:lncRNA from 1 species